AUGGCGCCCUCGAUGGCGCUCUGGAGCUCCUCCAUCGACGACGACGACGCCGCCGACAGCGACACGGGCCGCAUGCCAAUGCUGCUUGCCGCGGCCGGCACGUCGGGGAAGCCAACGCCGCCCGCUCCGCCGAAGGAGAGCAUCCCGGAGUGGUUCGGCGACGACCGCAUCGACGACGGGCAGCUCGCCGCGCACCGCUUCUGACGCGGGAACCGGAGGUUCCCGGAGAACGAGUUUGAGUGCGCGUACUUGCCGGUGCUCACCUCCGCCGCUGCCGCCGCCGCGGACGCGGCAGCGUGGUCUUCGUCGCCCCGCUUCUUCCGGAUCGAGAAGCUGAACGGCUUCUUGAAACACUGCUGCUGCUGCUGCGCCGGAGGCUGCGGCUGA
rnacentral:rRNA from 1 species